rnacentral:snoRNA from 1 species
AUGGCCCUGAAGCAGGGCCAGCAGUUUGCUGAAGCUGUUGGUUUCAAGCCGGAUCCUAAAGAAAUGUCUUUCUAUGGUCUGUUUGGCCAUUUCAGAUCUUUGGAAAUGUAGCGGUCAAUUCAUUAGAAAGAAACAUCU